UAGAUGCGAGAGUAGAGCAUAUCAAUAAGCGGAGGAAAAGAAACUAACAAGGAUUCCCUUAGUAACGGCGAGUGAAGCGGGAAGAGCUCAAAUUUGAAAUCUUCAAGGGUUCUACCUUUACGAAUUGUAGUUUAUAAGAAGUGUUUUCGUGGAGUUAGAGUGCAAAAGUUCUUUGGAAUAGGACAUCAUAGAGGGUGAGAAUCCCGUAUUUGGUCAUUCUUUCUAGCUUUGUGAUACACUUUCAACGAGUCGGAUUGUUUGGGAAUGCAGUCCAAAAUGGGUGGUAAAUUUCAUCUAAAGCUAAAUAUUGGCGAGAGACCGAUAGCGAACAAGUACCGUGAGGGAAAGAUGAAAAGAACUUUGAAAAGAGAGUUAAACAGUACGUGAAAUUGUCAAAAGGGAAGCGUUUGACACCAGUGUUGUUUUUCCGAAAAUCAAUUACGAAUGUUCUGUUUUUGAGGAGUUAUGACUUCAUCGGCUUGCUCCUUUCUUUAUGAAACUUUCUUAAUGCACUUUUCGGUUAACAAGUCAACAUCAAUUUCUUUUGUUGUAAAAGGGUAUGAGGAAGGUGGCUUUCUUUUCGGAGAAAGUGUUUAUAGCCUUGUGCCUCUGCAAUCGGAGAGAUUGAGGUCUGCAGCGUAGAUCCUUCGGGGUUAGAUACAUUUGUGCUAAGUUAUAGCUUUUCAUAGACAACUUGUUGACUAUGUUAAGUCUUGUAGCUUACUCGCUUAUGCUAUUUUACCUACGCUUAGGAUGUUGACACACGCGCGUGCUCG
rnacentral:rRNA from 1 species